rnacentral:rRNA from 1 species
AGAGUUUGAUCCGGCUUCAGGACAAAGCUGGGGGUGCCUCCAAGACCUGGCAGUCCCGCGAUUAAAGCCCCCUUUCGGGGGUGGAAUAAGCGGCCGAAGGGUGAAUUACCCCUUACUUAACUACCUUUCGGAACGGGAUUACCAUGCCAAAGCCCCCCUUAUACCGGAAACCCCCUCCGGGCCACCCCAACUGGUGUGGAAACCGGCUUUGGUCCCCAACCGGAGAAGGGGCUGCCGCCUAUUUACUUAUUGGGGAAGGUAUGGCUUCACCAGGGUACCAUGGGUAAGUGGAUUGAGGAGAAUGGCCACCCCCCUGGGACUGAAACACCGGCCCGAAUCCUACCGGAAGCCGCAGUUUAGAAUCUUGGCACAUGGGCCAAAGCCUGGUGGCGGCACAACGCCUGGGUUGAGGAGGGCUUCGGGUUGGUAAGCUCCUUUCCGGGAGAAGAAACAAACGAAUAAUAGGCGCGGACUGGCGGUUCCCCAGGAAUAAGGCUCCGCUAAAUUAGUGCCAGGAGGCCCGGUUAGACGGAAGAAGGGGGGCGGUGGUCGGGAUCAAUGGGGGGUAAAGCGGGGGCAGUGGCUUGGGUAGGCGGAUGGUGAAUUCCCCGGCUUCACCCCGGAACUGCCGUCGGAACUGGCUGGCCUCAAAACAGAAGGAGAAUUGAAUUUCCCGUGGUACGGUGAAUGCCGAGAAUUCGGGAAGAACCCCAGUUGGCGAAGCCGGCUCUUCUGCUGUUUCUGACCCUGAAACGCCGAAGCGUUGGGGAAGCGACCGGGAUUAGAUACCCCGGUAGUCACCGCCUGUAAACGAUGGGUUACUAGUGUUCGGGGGAUCGACCCCCUCGUGCGUAGCUACGUGUAAGUACCCCGCCUGGGACUACGCGCAGUAACUCAAAGGAUGACGAUCACUAGUGA